UGGGGCGUCGCCAAGUGGUAAGGCAGCGGAUUCUGAUUCCGCCAUUUCGUUGGUUCGAAUCCAGCCGCCCCAGCCA
rnacentral:tRNA from 1 species